GGACAGCGGGCCUCACUCCGGCGGGCGUGCUGAGGAGAAGCCUCACCAGGUAGACACGUGCAGGGAGCGGGGCAGUGAGGACCCGGGGCUACAGAGGACAUCGGCGUGAGUCCUCAGAAAGGGCAGAUGCCCUGAAGUGGGUGUCAGGCAGAGGGCGGGGCCUAGAGCCGGCUGAGGCCAGAGCCUCCCCACGUGUGCAAGGACGCCCUGGGUCAAAGUCACAGUACUGGAAUCUGAGCACGCGUCCGUCUGUGGCAAGAGAGAAGCACAGAUGAAGCACAUGCUUUGCUCCUGCACCGCUCCCACGCCUCCGCACUCCAGAACUGAUCCUUGGCAGCCCGCAUGCUGGGGACAGCUCCCGGGUAAUCAGAUAUUAGCCCUGCUUGUUCCAGAAAAGGCUGAUGCCUGGGUGCUGUGCUGAGGUUAGGGCCUGCCUGGGUGGGGCUCCUGCAAAUCUCCUCGCCACAGCUGUCUGCUGGGCAGACCAUUUCCUACCCCAAGACUGGGCUCACUGCGCAGGCACCAGAUGUGGCUCAUAGCUCCCUCUCCGCCGGGCCAGGCCCUGAAAUGCUCACCUCCAAGGUGGCUGCUCAACUGAGAUUUUAGUAGCAGGAACCCGCAAUUCCAAAGGUCACCUGAUUGAGAAAUGCCGUACUCAAAGCCAAACACUUCUGUCUAGCAACUCCAGAAAUCACAUAAAGAAAGAGGCAAAGCGAAAAUAGGUCACAGCCUCCUUGUGCAGAAGACUUAGGAAGCUCCAGGCCCCCUCUCAGGGAAGCAAGGGCUCAAUAAAUAUCUGACUUUCCGUCCACCCUUCUCAGGCUGCCGGAGUGAUUACCUACAAGGCAAAUCUGAUUGCGCAGCUUUCCCACUCAAAGACCUUGGAUGAAUUCCUGCUGCCGUUCAACACAGGCCUCCAAACUUUUUUUUAGUGAUGUGAAACUCUUUCUUCAAACCAAGUCUUAGAAUCCUAAGAUCAAAUGCAGGCAAAAGUGGUGAAUUUUACCACCUGUUUGUAAGUCUGGGUUUAUAACUUUACCGUAAAUCACCUAGAACACAGGCUAGCCGAAUCGGGGUGUCUGGUAUGGCAAUAUCCCGAGAGCUAACCUGGGGCUGGGGCAAUGUUCUGUGGCUGCUGCACUUGCCUCUAACAGGCCAGUUUAAAACGUCCAGGUCUCAGGGCCACAUUCUCCAGGACACAGCAGGGAGCUCACAGUAGCUCAAGACCCGGCCCAGCCUCCAUCCCCAGCCUUGGAGCUGUCAGUGCUCCCAAAGGCUGAAAGCAUUCGGUCUUGGCUGAGUGGACAGCCCCCUUCCCUUCUUCCAAGGCUUUAGAAGCCACCUAUCUCCAGAUCCCUCUCAAAAGGAGACUUCCACCCACAGAGACCCCACCCAGAAGGAGCUGUGUGUGAGGCACUGAAUGAAACCUCUUUCAGAUGGCUUAUCUCACUGUACUCUCAACAUGUGUCUCCCUUACGGGACUGUGGGCAACUUGAGGACAGGCACACCUCAUUCAUUCCUCACCCCCCACUGUACAUACGACACCUGCACAGGGAAAGUCCUUACUUUGUCUCUGUGAAAGGGUGAAUGAGUCAAGGAACUGGGAUGUUUUAAAAUAGAAUUUGUUGCUUUGGGGAACGGAAAAAUUCAGGCUUUUCAUCUGUGUUACCAGAGUUGGUAUGCUGGCUGUAAUGCUGAAAAGUCAGAAGUAAACGCGUUCCCCGGGACCCAGGGCAUGCGCUUCAUCUCAGCGGCUUCUUACAAGGAUUGGGUGCAAGUGCUGCAGCAGAAAGAUGUUUCCAGGAACAUGGGAACCAAGGCUAGGUCUGCAUCUUCUCUGAAAAACUAGCCUGUUGUUUCUCAAACACACAUCAACAUAGCCUGAUAUUUCAGAGAGGAAGGGAAGGUCGGUUACAAACGGUAUCGCCAUGAGCCGCAAACGAAUGGAAGAAAUUCCACGUUAAAAAAAUGUGAAUUUCAUUCCAUAAGAAAAACCUUUAGUACGUAGCUCAGAAAACAGUCAAGAGGCCCAUGAUCAUCUCGGUUCAGGAAAUGCUAGGCUGCUGGAGACAGCCUUUUGUUUAACCUCAUAAACAUCUAACAAACACGGAAGACAUCAACUUGAUUGUUAUUUCUCUCCUUUUAAAUACCAUCACUCCUUUUUUUUUCUUAUUUUGGGGAUAGGGUCUUGCACUCUCUCUCAGGCUGGAGUGCAGUGAUGCAAUCUUGGCUCACUGCAGCCUCAACCUCCUGGGCUCAAGCGAUCCUCCCACCUUAGCCUCCCAAGUAGCUGGGACCAACAGGUGCAUGCCAUCAUGCCCGGCUAAUAGUCUGAAUUUUUUCUUUGGAGAGAUGGGGUCUCACAAUGUUGCCCAGGCUGGUCUUGAACUCCUGGGCUCAAGCAAACCACCUGCCUCGGUCUCCCAAGGUGCUGGGAUGACAGGCCUGAGCCACCACGCCCGGCCACCGCCGCUCCCUUACCCAGGAUGAUGCCGUUGGGCUCCUCCGGAGGUUGCCACACUAUCCGCACGGAGUUUCAGGCAUUCCCUGGGGUCCUGGGAUGUGUUGCCAGAUAAGGGGGCACUACACGAAGUGUGUGGAGCCCCUGCCAAGAGGAGCGUCCACAGCUGACAUCCACAGCUCGGCCCCGCCCCAGCCUCUGCUGCCUCUCCCCAGCACUGCCCACGGCAGAGUUAUGAGGGAAACUCAGUACAGGUUCAUAAUUAGGCUGUAAAAAUCCACUCCAGGCUGAAAUUGGCCAUAUAAGUGCUCAGUGACUGAAAAACAAUUUUGUUUUGUUUCCCUCAACUGCAAAAGAAAGUGGUUUGAAAAUUAAGUUAAAAGCGACAACAAUCCAAAUUGUUUGCAUUGGAAAGGCCAACCUGGGAGGCAGCAAGGCUCCCGAAGGCGCGAACCCUGGACCUACCAUCGUCUUUGGUGCGCUCCAGGAUGAGGGGCGUGCUGGGGACCCCGUUCCCGAUGCGGGUGAACGC
rnacentral:lncRNA from 1 species